AUGAGUAAGGGUCUUCGGGCCCGACCUCCAACCCUUUGUAGUUGAAAAACCCUUGUUGCUUUGGCGGGACCGUCCCGGAACUCCCAUCUCUUCUGAUGGGGGGGAAAGGGCCGCCGGUCCUCGGACCGUCGAGCUCCCGCCAGAGUCAAACCAAACUCUUGUUUUAACCAUAUCGUCCGAGUAAAUUGAUAAAUCAAUUA
rnacentral:misc_RNA from 1 species